rnacentral:rRNA from 1 species
GCCAAAAAUCUAGCCCAACAAUUACCCAUGUAACUUAAUUACCAACUUUUAAAAAAUAAAACAUUUUUAAUAUUUAGUAAAGGCGAUUAAAAAAUAUCAAAGAGCAUUAGAAACAGUACCGCAAGGGAAAGAUGAAAUAAAAAUGAAAUAACUUUAAAGCACUAAAAAGCAGAGACUAACCCUCGUACCUUUUGCAUCAUGGUCUAGCUAGUCCAACCAAGCAAAAAGCAAUUUCAGUUUGACCCCCCGAAACUAAGCGAGCUACUUCAAAACAGCCUAACGGGCCAACCCGUCUCUGUUGCAAAAGAGUGGGAAGAUUUUCAAGUAGAGAUGAUAUAUCUACCGAGCUUAGAGAUAGCUGGUUAUUCAGAAUAAGGAUUUAAGUCCUACCUUAAGUCACCAUAUAAUUACUAAUACUCCAAUUGACCUAAGAGCCAUUCAAAUAAGGUACAGCCUAUUUGAAACAGGAUACAACCUAAACCACAGGGUAAUGAAAUAAUAUACCGCGACCAAGUGGGCCUAAGAGCAGCCAUCUUACAAAAAGCGUUAAAGCUUUACCGCUAAUUUUUAUUAAUUCCUUUAACAUUACCAAAACCCUUAAUUAGUACUGAAUGAUUCCAUAACCAUAUGGAAAACCAUAUGCUAGAACUAGUAACAAGAAGAAGCCCUUCUCCAAAAUAUAAGUGUGAGCCGAAAUGAACAAUUCACCGGCACUUACCGCUAAUGAACCACCAGUAGCAACCAAACAAGAAAACCCUACUCUAUUAAGCGUCAACCUUACACUAGAAUAUUACCGGAAAGAUUAAAAGAAAAAGAAGGAACUCGGCAAACUACUAACCCCGCCUGUUUACCAAAAACAUCGCCUCUUGAUUAAAUAUAAGAGGUCCAGCCUGCCCAGUGACAAAGUUAAACGGCCGCGGUACCCUAACCGUGCGAAGGUAGCGCAAUCACUUGUUCUUUAAAUGAGGACUAGUAUGAACGGCAUCACGAAGGUUAUACUGUCUCCUUUCUCUAAUCAGUGAAACUGACCCCCCCGUGAAGAGGCGGGGAUGAAAUUAUAAGACGAGAAGACCCCAUGGAGCUUUAAACUCAGCAUCAAUUGCCUUAGCAUACAAAUCAUUUUAACCAGGCAAACCUGACAGCUAGUUUUCGGUUGGGGUGACCGCGGAGCAAAACAAAACCUCCACGAUGAAUGGACCUUUCCUAAUCAAAGAGCCACUACUCGAAGAAUCAAUAUACUGACAUAAAUUGAUCCAAUUAAUUUUGAUCAACGAACCAAGUUACCCUGGGGAUAACAGCGCAAUCCACUUCAAGAGCCCCUAUCGACAAGUGGGUUUACGACCUCGAUGUUGGAUCAGGGUAUCCUAGUGGUGCAGCCGCUACUAAUGGUUCGUUUGUUCAACGAUUAAAACCCU